CAAAAGAACAGAAACGACUCCCACUGCUCCGACAAGUCCUUGGAUUACCCUCCUCCGAAUUUGCUCGUGAUCGGGGACGUCCCAACAACUGUGUUGCAACUGGUAGAAGACAGUUACAGCCAGCCGGGAAGUUGGAGAAUAAAAAAUAAGGGUGAACGUUCAAGUUGGGCGGGGUCUUCGCUUUCUCUGAUCCAUGACUCAUCCGGGUAGCCGUCGUUGCCCUGGGAAACCAGGAGACGCCGUGACUCGUGCGUCUUGUAUCUAUAGAAACGACAACAUGGCGGCGGUGUGAGUUCUGAGCGUUGGUCCCAGCGACCCGGCGAGCUGCACGAGUGGCCAGGGAAGAGUCCAGAGGCAGAGGCUGUUUGUAGAAUGCCCUAUGGUUACAGCCAUUACUGAGCCAGGGAAGUACUACAAAGCCAUCCAACAGCAGAAAAGUAAUGGGGCCUUCCUCCCUGUCUCACCAGCUUGCAUCUCUUUGAUUCCAUCUGAAUGUUCACUUCCAAUUGAAGAGGAGGCCAGCCAUGUUCAGAGGCAACAAGUAGAGAGUAAAAGCCAGGUAAAAGCAAUGCAUAUGCUUCAGUGACACGCGCUGGGAGCUUACUGAGAAAUGCCACGUGUGGCUGUGGAGGGCAGUGCUGCGUGGGCCUCAUCCCCAGUUCCCUUUUCCAAAUGGCCUUUCCUGAAUGGUGAUCCUCUAGGCUCCCAGACGAAGCCCUGGGUCUUGUAUUCAGGCUCGUUUCUCACGUGCCACUUCACACCUGUUGCCAGAGCUCGGAAGCAGGCAACUCCUCCAUGAUCAGUGUCCAUGGUGAGUCUUC
rnacentral:lncRNA from 1 species